AAGUGACCGUGGCACUGCCCUGAGGGACAACGCAGCCACUGUCGCCGCAGCGUCGCUUCGGCAUCUAAUCGCCGAGGUGGGAGUGUUUAGCUUGCGAGGGCGGCACGGCCAUUAACUUCCUCAUCAAAACUGAUUGACAACAUUGGCAAAUUAUGUGCAGUUAACUGUAGUGCUUCAUUAGGCACGAGCUUCCUUGGACGGCCGCAGCCACAUCGGGUCGUCGCCGUGACGGAAGCGGAGAGGACGGGGUGGGGCGAUUCUAGCUGCAGGCUUAGCUAACACUAGGCAGGUAGCCGACACUGCGCAGGCCACAGCUGGCAGGAGUCCUCUCUCGUUUGCGACACGGCAAUCGGCCCGUUCCGGGUGCUAUCGCUUCCCGGCCACAAUUUCGCGUCCACGCGCGCGAAAGGGCGCGUAAUGUGGAAUCGCAGAAGUCGGUGGCAUCCGGAAUUUGUGUCAGGCUAACCAGUGGCGUAUUACUUCCAGUUCGUCUAGCUACGCUGAAGCACGGACGUUGCCUUCGGUCCGCAACGCGGCGCGUUGCGGCCAAAGUACGUGACCACUUUUUUUCUUUUCCAUUCCUUGUGCCACGCUGUUUCUGUCGCUCGACACGAGGACCAUGUUUGGCGAGUUCAUCUCCCACGGGUCGUGCGGUGACGCUUGUAAUGGUGAGUACCUACUUUCUGGUUAUAUUCCCAAUUUGAAAAGCUGUCAUUUUUUAAGUUUCAGGUACGCACCCUAGGCCUCCGCUUUCAGCGCACUCCAGCAACGUCCCUGCGUCCAGCAGUGUCCCGGACGGUUGACGUUCAGUGCCUGUCAUCUCUCGGCUGACCGCCUGUGUACUUCUCCUCCAGCCACACAGCUACUGGUUUCCUGGCCAAUGAACAAACCUGCACGACCCACCCUGCAGUACGUCGACUGCUAUUCCCCAGCCUUUGCCAUCAGUCACGUGCGACGGAUUUUCCUGCGCCCUGCCGUGUCCCAGACGGGUGACUUUCAUCGCCUGUCGUCCCGUGGCUGACGGUCUGUGCACUUCUCCUCCAGCCACACGGCUACUGGUGUCCUGGCCAACGAAGAAACCUGCACGACCCGCCGUGCAGUACGUCGACGUUGCGUAGUCUCCAACCCUUGUCUUGACAUCCGCCGCCCCUAAAGAUUUGUUCCGCCUGUGUAGUAGGACAUGAAGUCCAGUGCUCAGAGUAGUGCGGCAAGCCUUUCUCACGAGAUAGUUCGUCACAUUUCUACGCUCGCUGACGUUGAGCUGCAGGAAAAGUACCUCUCUGGCUCAUCCAUGCUGCUUCGAUCACGCUGCACGACUGCGGAGUCGUGACACGAACACCGAUCACAACAUCCCUGUGACAGUUAUUUCCGCCCGGUAGCUGUAUAAUGGCCGUUCGAUAAAGGCUCGUAUUGAAGGUCCCUGACUGUUUGACAAGCGGACUAAAACAAUUCCAGGUAACAUCCUGGCUCAUCUGAUACACUGCUCAGUCAAUCUGGAGGUUCUUGCAGGUUAAUUCACAUCCUGUGCUCUCGUAAUGGUACGUUCAUGCUGGUUCGCAUUGUGAAGUUGCACGCGCGUAUGUGUUCGUAUCAGCAUGCGUGGGUUUCCGUGUGGUGCUGCAUGUAUGUUGUCUAUUUAUUGUACGCGCGUGCGACUUCGAUCACUUCAUCUGGUUGUUGGCGUAUUUUUAGCUGGGUGCGUCCUCACUUCUUCCAUGGAAUCCUUGGUGGCUGGCCUCGUCUCGUCUGUGAAUUCUUCAGAACGGUCGUUGAUGGAUCCGCAGUGAUAGUCUCCAAUCCUUUCCAAAAUCCUUCCAACUUUGGCUCUGGGCGUUCCCCUUAAUUGAAGGGCUUCCAGUGGUGUAUUUGUCUGUAGCCCUUGCCUCGUCAACUUUUCUAAUCCAAGUGGUUUCUGCUGGUAUUUCCUUUGUCCAUAUCUUCCUUGUUUACCAAGUUAUUCAUCACGGCUAAUGCGAAGCAUCAGCGUAUCGUUACAAAAUGCAUAUGGUUGAAUUAAAGACAAUAAAACAUUUCCGUUCGCUUGUGAGCGUCAUGCUUAUCCUUCGAAAUACAGUGCUGGCAUUGUACCCAGCUUACUUUUAAAAACCUGUCUACAGUCAUUAUUCAUGUUAGUGGUAAAGCUGCGUACCACUACACAGCCAAGCAAAGCAGAUCCUGAUCCUUCCUUCAGCAAGAUUGGACAUUGAUCGGACGCCACCACCGCACGUGCCUGCGAUGUUAAGUCUUGAUUACUGUUUCAUCACCGUUACUUUUGUACUUCACUGUUCACUGCCCUGUGUAAAUUUACCUUGCAUGCACUUGUACUUUUCUAUAACAUGUACUUGCUGU